GCAGUUCCCAUCAUUGCCCCACCAGAUCGACUCAAAACUCUGGCUGCUCAGGAUCUCCCAGAGCUUCUCAAGGAAAGAGUCAGCCAAAGAGGGUCCAGCAGCAGCAUCCCAAGAUGGUUCCAUAUCAUCUCCGGGAUGGUCAGGAGAAGCUGAAGCCACCCACCAAGCUGGAUCCUCAAGGUCCGAAGCACAGGAUGUCUCCUGUGAAGAUAGCUCCAUUUUGACUUAUUUUACCACAGCUUGGCUGCCUCCAACCAGCUUCUUGGUCCUGGCAGUCAGCAGGACGGAGUCUUGUGGCUCCAGCUGCCUGGGAAAUUCUCCAGCCUGUGUUCCAUCACAGUGACAUCACAGCGUGACACCUGUCUCCUGGCAGCAGGAGGUAGGAGAUGCAGAAAUAACCCCAAAACCCUGAUUUCCCAGAGAGCUGUUUGAGCCCAGAGCUUGUUCCAGCUAUAUUUCCAUGUGGAAUGUCCUGACAGGGCUGUGUCCCCAUGCCCCUGGGAGCCAUGCCCAGGGAGGGAUAGGGAAGGGGACAGCAUUGGGCAUCCAAGUGCCCCAGACCUGAGGUUUUUCACCUGGGCACCUUCUUCCCCAUGCAGAAAUGCCUGUAUGGAAUUCCUCUGGAAUAACCCAGUUGUGUGGUGCCCACAGGGCUGCUUCUGCUGUGACUGUCCCUGUUCCUGGGUGAUGCUCUUGGAUCCCAGCAGGCUCUCCAUGCUGCUCCAUAGGAUGAAUUAUAGGGGAAAUGUUCUGCAAACACAUCUUGCAAUGGAAAUAACCUCCAUUGGGCUGGGUUCCGUGAAAUUUCUUUGCCUCAGAAUCUUCAGAACCCGACCCAGGGACCUCACUGGGGUUCUCCCACCUUGUGCCCAGUUCCCAACACACUCCGAGUGGGAGGAUUGCAGACUUGUGUGUGGACAGAGGAAUUGUGAGGGACUGGUUAUGUCAGCUGAAGGCUCUUCUGGGAUCAUCCUGCAGUCCUGGAUGAAUUGGCAGGGCCCGUCGGGAUCUACUAAAGGCCUGGGGGGCCCAGGGAGGCCACUCCUCACUGGGACAUGGCAGUGUCAUUCCUGUGCACAGGGAGGCUGUGGGGGACAGCCCAGGAAGGUUGGGAUUUUCUGGGUCCCAUAGGGUGAGCCGAAGAGCAGGGCAGGAAUGUUGCUCAGGGUUGGAGGGAGCACUGUACAACUGCAUGUGCACUUGGAAGAGCAGAACUCUCUGAAAUUAAACCCCACUGCCAUGCUGGCAACUAAA